rnacentral:rRNA from 1 species
GAUGAACGCUGGCGGCGUGCCUAAUACAUGCAAGUCGAGCGAAUGGAUUGAAAGCUUGCUCUUAUGAAGUUAGCGGCGGACGUGUGAGUAACACGUGGGUAACCUGCCCAUAAGACUGGGAUAACUCCGGGAAACCGGGGCUAAUACCGGAUAACAUUUUGAACCGCAUGGUUCGAAAUUGAAAGGCGGCUUCGGCUGUCACUUAUGGAUGGACCUGCGUCGCAUUAGCUAGUUGGGGAGGUAACGGCUCACCAAGGCAACGAUGCGUAGCCGACCUGAGAGGGUGAUCGGCCACACUGGGACUGAGACACGGCCCAGACUCCUACGGGAGGCAGCAGUAGGGAAUCUUCCGCAAUGGACGAAAGUCUGACGGAGCAACGCCGCGUGAGUGAUGAAGGCUUUCGGGUCGUAAAACUCUGUUGUUAGGGAAGAACAAGUGCUAGUUGAAUAAGCUGGCACCUUGACGGUACCUAACCAGAAAGCCACGGCUAACUACGUGCCAGCCGCCGCCGUAA